GGAGAAAAGCAGGGGAUCGAAAGACCUUGCGCUUUUGGAGCGGCCGAUGUCUGAUUAGCUAGUUGGUGGGGUAAUGGCCUACCAAGGCAACGAUCAGUAGUUGGUCUGAGAGGAUGGCCAACCACACUGGGACUGAGACACGGCCCAGACUCCUACGGGAGGCAGCAGUGGGGAAUUUUGGACAAUGGGGGAAACCCUGAUCCAGCAAUGCCGCGUGAGUGAAGAAGGCCUUCGGGUUGUAAAGCUCUUUCAGUUGAGAAGAAAAGGUUGUGACUAAUAAUCAUAAUUUAUGACGGUAUCAACAGAAGAAGCACCGGCUAACUACGUGCCAGCAGCCGCGGUAAUACGUAGGGUGCAAGCGUUAAUCGGAAUUACUGGGCGUAAAGGGUGCGCAGGCGGUUAUGUAAGUCAGAUGUGAAAUCCCCGGGCUUAACCUGGGAAUGGCGUUUGAAACUACAAAGCUAG
rnacentral:rRNA from 1 species